UACGAAGGGGGCUAGCGUUGCUCGGAAUGACUGGGCGUAAAGGGCGCGUAGGCGGAUUGUACAGUCAGGCGUGAAAUUCCCGGGCUCAACCUGGGGGCUGCGCUUGAGACGGUGCGAUCUUUGAGUGGGGAAGAGGGCGUGGAAUUCCCAGUGUAGAGGUGAAAUUCGUAGAUAUUAGGGAAGAACACCGGUGGGCGAAGGCGGCGACCUGGUCCUUGACUGACGC
rnacentral:rRNA from 1 species